AUGGUGAGGACCCAAGCUCCUCCUCUGCUGAGGAGAACAGCCGAGUUCACAUCAAGAAAACCAGCUGUGCCAAGCUGCUCCAGGAAAGUCAACAGCAUACAAUCUUCCUCUUCAGUUCUCUUUUUAAACUAUUGUCAGCAAUCCUCAGCUCGGCGGAACCGAGGCAGGGGACGAGGCAUGCUCAGGCCUCUAGCCCUGGCUAGGUUAGUACCCGACUGGCCUCGGUUUUUCCUCGGCCCCCCUGACCUGCUGACUCCUGCCAGCUCAGCGGAGGAGCCGCCCAGAACUGGUUGUUUCGGACGCCUCGCAGAAAGCUGCUGCUGCUGCUUUCUUGGAAGACAGGACCAGGACGCAAGGGCUGGGGAGGGCAGGAUAAGGUCACAGAUAAAAAGAGAUAUUUAUAACCGUAUCUUUCAGCCCUCCCCAGCUCGUCUUUCCUUUUACCCGUUCUGCCCAUGACAGGGUGCGGGGCGGAGGCAAGCAGCAUUGCUCGGCUCUGCCUGCUUUUCCCGGCCUCGUCCUGGGAACGCCACGGUGUCCGAGAGCGGCCCAGGUGCUCCCCAUAACCCCCCAGCCCGGCGAGGGCCCCUGGUCUGGGCCCGAUUUGCACGGAAGAGCUCAGGCUCAGAGGUCGCGGGACCCGCCCGGGCUAAUACAGCCGGUUAGGUAGUGUGGACCUCGGAUUCCAGCUCCUCCAGACACAGAUCCUGCAAGG
rnacentral:lncRNA from 1 species